rnacentral:rRNA from 1 species
UACGUAGGGCGCAAGCGUUGUCCGGAAUUAUUGGGCGUAAAGAGCUCGUAGGCGGUCUGUCGCGUCUGCCGUGAAAACCCGAGGCUUAACCUCGGGCUGGCGGUGGAUACGGGCAGACUAGAGGUAGGUAGGGGAGAAUGGAAUUCCCGGUGUAGCGGUGAAAUGCGCAGAUAUCGGGAGGAACACCUGUGGCGAAGGCGGCCCCCUGGGCCGGCCCUGACACUGAGACGCGAAGGCGUGGGGAGCGAACGGG